UGCGAUUUGCCAAAACAAAAGCUACAGUGUCCUCGGGCAACGCUAACGACCAAAUGCCUACCAGAUACAGAGUUUCAGAGACAUCGAGCCAAGCAAAGUAGCUCAGCCAAUACAACAAUGGCAGGGAAGAACAGGAAGUACAGGGAAAUUAGAUAUGGCUAAUCCAGCAACGACCAAAAUACCCAAUCCCAAUCGAUCUUCCUCUUUGCUUCAUCGAAGUUGCCGCAACCCAGCUGUAGCUGUAGCUGUAGCUGUAGCUGUAGUCCACUGACUUCCCACAUAGUUAGCUUUAACUCCUCCCUGUUCAUCUUCUUCAAAACCCUAGCUCCAAUGGCUUCGUUCUCUGUUGGGACCCACUGGAAUCCGUAUCAGCCCUUAAAGAAGCGAGUACCCCUUUCAUCAUCUCCCGCUCUUCAUCUCCGGCCUAGCUUGGGCUCGACUCUGUGGAGAAUCCGAGGCUCGUCAUGGCGUGGCAAUGGCGUGCUGGUUCGCGCAGAAGAGAGGUCCAGAGACUCUGCUUCUUCAACCCGGCAGCAAGUCCAGCCCAACUCUGAGAGGCAGCUCCAGGAGUUGACACCUACAUCUGGAGCAUGUGAUCCUCUAUGUUCUGUUGAUGAAACAAGCUCACUGGAUUUUGAAGCCAGUUACAAGCCAAAGACCGAUUUGCUGAAAGCUCUUGCAAUUUUAGCAGCAUCGAUGACUGGGGCAGUGGCAAUUAAUCAAUCUUGGGUUGCUGCCAAUCAGGAUGCUGCCAUGGCACUGUUAUUUGGAAUUGGAUAUGCAGGCAUUAUUUUUGAAGAAUCUCUAGCCUUCAAUAAAAGUGGUGUAGGAUUGUUAAUGGCAGUGAGCUUAUGGGUUGUACGAAGAAUUGGGGCUCCUUCAACCGAAAUAGCUGUUUCAGAGCUUACACGUGCAUCUGCUGAAGUCGGUGAAAUUGUAUUUUUCUUGCUUGGUGCAAUGACCAUGGUAGAGAUAGUUGAUGCCCAUCAAGGAUUUAAGCUGGUCACUGACAAUAUAACAACUCGUAAACCACGCACUCUCCUAUGGGUGGUUGGGUUUGUGACUUUUUUCCUUAGUUCAGUACUUGACAACCUGACAUCUACCAUAAUCAUGGUUUCAUUGCUACAGAAACUAGUACCUCCAUCAGAAUACCGCAAGUUAUUGGGAGCUGUUGUUGUGAUAGCAGCAAAUGCUGGUGGUGCCUGGACACCUAUUGGUGAUAUUACUACUACAAUGUUGUGGGUACAUGGUCAGAUAUCUACAUUGCAGACAAUGAAGGAUUUGAUUAUACCUUCUGCGGUUUCUCUGGCUGUCCCGCUGGCUCUUAUGUCCCUUACAAGUGAAGUCAAUGGGAAAAGACAGGAUUCUCCCAAUGUUUUGGCGUCUGAACAGAUGGCUCCUAGGGGACAGCUUGUUUUCUCUGUGGGCAUUGGAGCUUUGUUGUUUGUUCCAGUAUUUAAGGCCAUAACUGGUUUGCCUCCUUACAUGGGUAUGCUGCUUGGACUUGGAGUUCUUUGGCUUUUGACUGAUGCUAUUCACUAUGGUGAAUCUGAAAGCCAGAAAUUGAGAGUGCCGCAGGCUUUAUCACGCAUUGAUACCCAGGGAGUUAUUUUCUUCCUUGGAAUCCUUUUGUCUGUUAGCAGGUAUGCACAAACACAUCCUUACUUUCUGUAUACUGUUUUACACCAUGCUCAGUUGCACUCGUUCGGCUGGUGUUCACUCAGUAUGAUACCAUAACCAUUGCAAGAGACUAUUUAUUAAUUUUUACUAUGCCGUCUCUCUGGAAAUGUUCACACUAUUCAUUUAAAAAGACUCAAUCGCCACCAUAUUCACUUCAUUGGUGACUUCUAUUUAUCAUAAAACAUUCAUAUUUCAUUAUGAAACUUAGGGCACAGCCAAACUCAGAAAUUUGGCACAAUGAGGGUGUUUCACCCAGGCCAGAAGUCAUAUGUUCAAGUCACAAAAACAGCCCCUUCAAACCAAAUGUAGAGGUAAGAUUGUGUACAUCUUGCACCCCUGAGCUGUGAUGUGGGAACCUUGUGCACAAGUGGUGGUGUUUUUUUUUUUUUUUUUUUUUAAAUUUCUGUAGAAGUGUUUGAUCUUGUAAAUCUUUAUUACAUUUCUAGAACAGAUUCUUGGUGCUGGGACUAUAAGCCUGUGUUUUUAGUUGUUUGCCCAUUCUUUCCCUGAUGGUGUGGCACUAAACUGACAUUUUUAAGUAUAGAAAAGUCAACAACUUAGUUUUUGAAAGGCCUGAUAAACCCCGAAAUCACUUGAACCAUCCCAAAAGUGUUGGGAAGGGCAGCAACAACCGGAAGACCGUGAAAACGCCAUGCGCAACAGAUGCGCUGCUCCAAGAGUGCUGGAGAGGUCCCCACCAUCCCCUUCAGUAAAUAAUAUAUUAUUUUAGUUAAAUAUGAUGAGAAUUGGAUUAAUGACCGGUUGGUCAUGGGUUUGAGUGCAAGGAAACAACCUCUCUACAUAAAAGUAGGGGUAAGGCUGUGUACACUGUGAGUGUGACAACCCUCCCCUUACCAUCGCGAAGUGGGUAGCCUUUGUUACCGUAUAUAAUUUAGCUAUUAAUAUUAGAUUUACACAAUAUAUUUACCAUGUAUAGAUGCUGAAUAUUAGGAACACGUUAGACUUUACUUUGUAUAGCAUAAUAUCUACUUUCCUUCUAAAGAUUGGCUAUUACUACUUUCCUUGUAAAAUUGAUGAUUUGCCUUUAUAAUGAGAAAGGGCUGAACUGCGAAUGGUCAGUUUUUUCCAAACGAUUUCUUGACUUUGACAUGGUAUCAGAGCAGGUUUCUGGUUUCUUACCUGUUUCUCGAAUUUUUUUUCACGGAUUUUUUUUUCUCGGGGGUCUGUGUUUUGGGAUUUCGGUGAUUUCUGUUGGAGGUUUCGACGCUGUUUGUUGCUGCUCUUGUGGAUUUCGGCACUUGGUUGGCAAGUUUGUGGUAUUUAUUUUGGUUGUCGGUGCUUUCUGUGGUGAGCUUGUGGGUUCUAUGUGUUGAACCUUUGUGGAAUAUUUUUUUAUUUUUGGGCUUUCGGUCCUUUCUAUUUUUCAGUGCUGGGUUUUUUUUGUCUCUUCAUGGGUGCUGAGAUUUCUUGUUUGUUGGCAUCUUCGGCAACUUCUUUUUGGGUUCUAGUUGUUGAAUUUUUGUGGAAUAGUCUUUGUGGAAUUUCUAGGAGAUCAGUGUUUCUGUUGUGGGUGGAAUUUUUAUUUUUUUUUUUGUGAUUUCUGGUAUUUAUCUUGGUUAAAUCAUGUAUUUUGGGGUCCGUUUUACUGGCAAAAAUCAUCCUACUUGGGAGUUUCAGUUUCGAUUGUUUGUCAAAGGGAAAGACUUGUGGGGUCAUAUUGAUGGGAUUGGUCCCACACCUCGAGGUGGCGACGCUCUGUCUAAAUGGGUAAUCAAGGAUGCUCGGGUUAUGACCUGUAUCCUUAGCUUGGUUGAGCCUCACCUUGUUCUCAAUCUGAGGCCUUGUAAAACUGUCGCUGACGUGUGGAAUUAUCUACAUAAGGUUUAUAAUCAAGACAACACGGCUCAGCUUUUUCAAUUGGAGUAUGAGAUGGCUAAUUUCACACAGGGAAGUCUCUCUAUUGAAGAAUAUUUUUCUGGUUUUCAAAAUCUUUGGGCUGCCUACUGCCUAUUUAGACAUUGUUUAUGCAAAUGUUCCCGCUGCAGCUCUCUCUGCUGUUCAAGCAGUGCAUGAAACAAGCAACAGAGAUCAAUUCUUGAUGAAGCUUUGUUCCAACUUUGACAUUGCACGUUCUAAUAUGAUUAAUUGUUUUCUGGUACCAUCUUUGGAUGCUUGUUUGAGUGAACUUCUUAGCGACAUGGAAUGUCGGGCUACUGUCAGUACCCCUGUUACUGUGGUUUAUGCAGCACAAGGGAGGAAUAAGGGUCGAGACAUGCGUGUUGUCCAGUGCUAUAGCUGUAAAGCCUUUGGUCAUAUUGCUCGGGAUUGUCCCCAGAAGUUUUGUAACUACUGCAAGACGCUGGGCCAUAUCAUCUCCGCUUGUCCCCAUUUGCCCUGAAAGGAAGCAGGGUACUGCUUAUCAUGCCUCUGCUGGUGCCUCUAGUUCUGCUGCAUUGCCUGCUGCCUCGCAGAUUGUUCCUACUCCUACAACCUUAGCAAAGCCGAAUACACUCACUCCUGAAAUGGAUCAAGUGUCAGGGAAGAUGAUCGUGAAGGGGCUUAAAGUGGGAUGACUCUUUCCUCUGCACCUUUCUCCUUCCACAAUUAUUCCUAGUUAUCCUCUACUUUCUUUUGCAUAUAAUGUUGCUAGUCUUGGAAAUAAGAUGUGGCAUAGACGUCUAGGCCACCCAAACUCAGAUGUAUUUCGUACUUUAUUUAAUUUUGGUUUGUUGGGAAAUACAACGUGUUCUUCUCUUGAUCUUUCCUUUGAUUGUACAACAUGCAAACUUGGCAAAAGUAAAGUUCUACCUUUUCCUCA